GCUCACUCCGGGAGCGGGGCCGGGGGAAGUCUGGGGGGGCGUGGGUUGUGCGGAAGUUCUGGGCGUAAAGGGGGGGUAGGCGGGGGGGGAAGUCUGUGGGGGAAUCUCGGGGCUAAACUGGGAGUCGGCCAGUGAUACUCCUCGGCUCGAGCACGGUAGAGGCAGGUGGAAUUCCGGGUGUAGCGGUGGAAUGCGUAGAGAUCCGGAAGAACACCGGUGGCGAAGGCGGCCUGCUGGGCAGUAGCUGACGCUGAGGCGCGACAGCGUGGGGAGCAAACAGGAUUAGAUACCCGAGUAGUC
rnacentral:rRNA from 1 species